ensembl:lncRNA
GGCGAAUCGCCCCAGCCCCGCCCCGUAAAGGAGCAGGACUGUGUGUGUGUGUGUGUGUGUGUGUGUGUGUGUGUGUGUGUGUGUGUGUGUGUGUGUGUGUGUGUGUGUGUGUGUGUGUGUGUGUGUGUGUGUGUGUGUGUGUGUGUGUGUGUGUGUGUGUGUGUGUGUGUUCCCUGGCUCAGUCGUGUCAGACUGCGACCCCACGGACUGUGGUCUGCCAAAUUUCUCUGUCCAUGGGAUUUCCUAAGCAAGAAUGCUGGAGUGGGUUGCCGUUUCCUACUCCGAGGGAUCUUCCUGACCCAGGGAUCGAACCCGCGUCUCUUGAGUCACCUGCAUUGGACUGUGUUUCAGAUAACAGCUAGUUCAAACCCACUGUUGCCAAAGCAGGGGUCAUCUCUAUUUGAAAAUAUUUUUUAAUGUUUAUUUUUAUUUAUUUGGCUGCUCUGGGCCUUAGUAGCAGCAUGUGGGAACUAGUUCCCUGACCAGGGAUCAAACCCAGGUCCCCUGCAUUGGGAGAAUGGAGUCUUAGCCACUGGACCACCAGGGAAAUCCCCAUCUUCUCUUUGGAGGCUGGAAGACUCGAGAGUAUUGGUCAAAAGAGCUAACACCAGGCUCCCCUGGUAGUCCAGUGAUAAUCUACCUGCUGAUACAAGAGACGUGGGUUCAAUCCCUGAUCCGGGAAGAUCCCACAUGCCACGGAGCAGCUAAGCCCAUGCGCCACAACUAUUGAGCCUGAGCUGUAGAGUCUGGGAGCCGCAACUACUGAAGCUCAUGUGCCCUAGAGCCUGUGCUCUGCAAUAUGAGAAGUCGCUGCAACGAGAAGGCCACGCACUGCAGCUAGAGACUAGCUCCCACUUGCCGAAACUAGAGAAAAGUCUGCGCGGUAACGAAGACCCAGCCAGAAAUACAUAAAUACAUAAUUAAUUAAGUCGAUGAAUAAAAUUAAAUUUGAAAAAGAAAGAACCAACAGCAACUGACUUUAGCCUGGGUUGCAUAACCCUACUUCAUGCACAAGAUUACAACAGACAAACCCGGAUUGACAAAUAUGAACGCAACGUCUGAGGAACCGUUGCAGAUUAUAGGGAAAUAACGAGACCUGAAGACUAAAGAUAGUAGAGAAAACUGGACUGCAUCCUAUCCUAGAGGGAAAAGACCAGCACCACAGUGGACGUCUGGGACUCUUGUCAAACUGGAUAUGGAUUAUAGACUAAUGUUUUGUAUCAGUUUAAAUCUUCUAAUUUGGAUAAUUGUGAUUAUAUGGGACAAUAUCCUUCUCAGGAAAUAUUGAAGUAUAAAGGGACCUACGAGCACACUGUAUGCAAUCUACUUUCAUGAUUUAGAAUAAUUAUACAUAUGUACACACAUCAAAUAAAACAUUUUAGUUAAAAUUUAAUAUAAAUUUUAAUUUAGAGAGAAUAAAAAAGCAAAAUCUGGGGAACUCCCUGGUGGUGCAGUGGUUAGGACUCUGAGUUUUCACUGCUGAGAGUGUGGGUUCAAAUCUUUGGUGGAGGGACUAAGAUCCCACAAGCCAGGUAGCUUGGCCAAAAGAGAAAAAAGCAAAAUCUGUGCAAAACAUUAAUAGUCAUCUUUGAUUCUAACUAAAGUGUAUACAGAUAUGGAAUUUAGAAAGAUGGCAAUGACGACCCUGUAUGCAAGACAGUAAAAAAGACACAGAGGUGUAUAACAGACUUUUGGACUCAGAGGGAGAGGGUGGGAUGAUUUGGGAGAAUGGCACUGUAACAUGUAUACUAUCAUGUAAGAAUCGAAUCACCAGUCUAUGUCCGAUGCAGGAUACAGCAUGCUUGGGGCUGGUGCACGGUGAUGACCCAGAGAGAUGUUAUGGGGAGGGAGGUGGGAGAGGGGUACAUGUUUGGGAGCGCAUGUACAC